rnacentral:rRNA from 1 species
ACGGGUGAGUGACGCGUAUGCAACCUACCUAUCAGAGGGGAAUAACCCGGCGAAAGUCGGACUAAUACCGCAUAAAACAGGGGCACCGCAUGGUGAUAUUUGUUAAAGAAAUUCGCUGAUAGAUGGGCAUGCGUUCCAUUAGGUAGUUGGUGAGGUAACGGCUCACCAAGCCGACGAUGGAUAGGGGAACUGAGAGGUUGGUCCCCCACACUGGUACUGAGACACGGACCAGACUCCUACGGGAGGCAGCAGUGAGGAAUAUUGGUCAAUGGGCGGGAGCCUGAACCAGCCAAGUCGCCGUGAAGGAAGAAGGAUCUAUGGUUCGUAAACUUCUUUUGCAGGGGAAUAAAGUGCAGGACGUGUCCUGUUUUGUAUGUACCCUGAGAAUAAGGAUCGGCUAACUCCGUGCCAGCCGCCGC